rnacentral:tRNA from 1 species
GUCUGUGUAGUAUAAUUAUUACACCGGUCUUGUAAACCGGAAAAGGAGAAGCAAACUUCCCCCAAAGACU